rnacentral:rRNA from 1 species
AAGACCUUGCACUUUUGGAGCGGCCGAUGUCUGAUUAGCUAGUUGGUGGGGUAAUGGCCUACCAAAGCUUCGAUCAGUAGCUGGUCUGAGAGGACGGCCAGCCACACUGGGACUGAGACACGGCCCAGACUCCUACGGGAGGCAGCAGUGGGGAAUUUUGGACCAUGGGCGCAAGCCUGAUCCAGCCAUGCCGCGUGAGUGAAGAAGGCCUUCGGGUUGUAAAGCUCUUUCAGCCGGGAAGAAAAGGUUGCGACUAAUAAUCGCAAUCCAUGACGGUACCGAAAGAAGAAGCACCGGCUAACUACGUGCCAGCAGCCGCGGUAAUACGUAGGGUGCGAGCGUUAAUCGGAAUUACUGGGCGUAAAGGGUGCGCAGGCGGUUUUGUAAGUCAGAUGUGAAAUCCCCGGGCUUAACCUGGGAACU